rnacentral:misc_RNA from 1 species
UCCAAAUUGAGCAUGCCAAGAAGGCUGCCGGCCUGCCAUUUGAUGAGGUCCAGAUGACUGCUGUCCUGAAAUGCUAUGGGAUACUAAUGGCUGCUGUUCCCCCCUUUGAGAGGGCAAAGGCGGGGGCGUGCCCUCCCCAAUUAGAUAACANNACUGCUGCCCUGCCAUUUUUUGAGGUCCAGAUGACUGCUGUCCUGCAGUGCUAUGGGAUGCUAAUGGCUGCUGUUCCCCCCUUUGAGAG